UGUCGUGAGGUGAAAUCUGAAGGAAGCUGGUGGCAAACAUCUGACCUAACGGACAGAAACUUCAUACAAGGCAUAUGAGUGUGGAUGAGAUUGCUAAAAAAAUCAAAGUCCAAUAGCUAUUCGGAACGGUGGUGAA
rnacentral:ncRNA from 1 species